CAGUAAUAGUGAAUGGAUUGAACCUUGAAUGCUAUAUCGACGUUCAGUGGCUGGGGAACAAAGUGAAUGAGAGAUGAUACGAAGGACACAUGGAUCCAGCAGGAUGCAUAUGGAACAAGACUGUGUUUUGGCUCGGACACACAUCCUUUGAAAAUGAACGGUGUCUGUUGAAGCUCCUGUGGUGUCUGCUGGGAUAGCCAUGUUUACCAGCCUCCACCUCAGGCUCUUCCCCACUGAGAGCUUCAUGCCCAACAAGGGUGUUGCACACCGAAUCCCCCUGAUUCAGGAGCUCACAUAAACAACCUACGGGCAGCACCUCCUCUCCCCAGACUGUCCCCGGUUACUAAGAUCUCUAUACUGCUCCCCUGAAGAACACCUCCAGAUUUCUCCAGAAGUCACCUUAAGUAAUACCACAUCCUUGUAGACCUGCUGAUGGAGCCCCCUUCUGUUCCUUGAAUACCUGCAGGAUUUCCGUCACCUAAUCUCCCAUGAUUAGCCUUUGCCACUGGGUCCAGGUCAUUAAUCCCGUCUCCUACACUGAGUGACAAUAAUCUCUGCUCACUGGGCAGGAGAGCCAGCUCCAUUUGUCACUCUGUCACCCAAUGGCUCUCACAUGGGAGAGGACAAGGACCAUUUAUCUGUGGAAUGUGCUGCAGUAACUGCAGGGCCGGCAAAUUAAAGAAAAAAAAAUCCAUCCUUCCUCAGGAUUGUACGGUGAUUUGGAGCGAAGAUAAAAGCUUGAUUCCUCCUUUUUUGCGAUGAGUGUACAACGUAUUUGUCAUUAAAUAUAAUGUCAGUCAUCAAUGUAUUUUUGUCUGAUACAGCAUAUUCAAGGUGAAGCAAGUUUUGUGUCA